AUACGGAGGGUGCAAGCGUUACUCGGAAUCACUGGGCGUAAAGCGCGCGCAGGCGGCUAUUUAAGUUGGAUGUGAACGCCUACGGCUCAACCGUAGAACUGCAUCCAAAACUAUUUAGCUAGAGUGUGGGAGAGGAAGAUGGAAUUAGUUGUGUAGGGGUAAAAUCCGUAGAGAUAACUAGGAAUACCAAAAGCGAAGGCAAUCUUCUGGAACACUACUGACGCUGAGGCGCGAAAGCGUGGGGAGCAAACAGGAUUAGAAACCCCAGUAGUCC
rnacentral:rRNA from 1 species